AACGAACGCUGGCGGCAUGCCUAACACAUGCGAGUCGAACGAGACCUUCGGGUCUAGUGGCGCACGGGUGCGUAACGCGUGGGAACCUGCCCUUAGGUUCGGAAUAACUCCCCGAAAGGGGUGCUAAUACCGGAUAAUGUCUUCGGACCAAAGAUUUAUCGCCUUUGGAUGGGCCCGCGUUGGAUUAGCUAGUUGGUAGGGUAAAAGCCUACCAAGGCGACGAUCCAUAGCUGGUCUGAGAGGAUGAUCAGCCACACUGGGACUGAGACACGGCCCAGACUCCUACGGGAGGCAGCUGUGGGGAAUAUUGGACAAUGGGCGAAAGCCUGAUCCAGCAAUGCCGCGUGAGUGAUGAAGGCCUUAGGGUUGUAAAGCUCUUUUACCCGGGAUGAUAAUGACAGUACCGGGAGAAUAAGCUCCGGCUAACUCCGUG
rnacentral:rRNA from 1 species